rnacentral:rRNA from 1 species
GGAUGAACGCUGGCGGCGUGCCUAAUACAUGCAAGUCGAACGAGUUCUGAUUAUUGAAAGGUGCUUGCAUCUUGAUUUUAAUUUUGAACGAGUGGCGGACGGGUGAGUAACACGUGGGUAACCUGCCCUUAAGUGGGGGAUAACAUUUGGAAACAGAUGCUAAUACCGCAUAAAUCCAAGAACCGCAUGGUUCUUGGCUGAAAGAUGGCGUAAGCUAUCGCUUUUGGAUGGACCCGCGGCGUAUUAGCUAGUUGGUGAGGUAACGGCUCACCAAGGCAAUGAUACGUAGCCGAACUGAGAGGUUGAUCGGCCACAUUGGGACUGAGACACGGCCCAAACUCCUACGGGAGGCAGCAGUAGGGAAUCUUCCACAAUGGACGCAAGUCUGAUGGAGCAACGCCGCGUGAGUGAAGAAGGCUUUCGGGUCGUAAAACUCUGUUGUUGGAGAAGAAUGGUCGGCAGAGUAACUGUUGUCGGCGUGACGGUAUCCAACCAGAAAGCCACGGCUAACUACGUGCCAGCAGCCGCGGUAAUACGUAGGUGGCAAGCGUUAUCCGGAUUUAUUGGGCGUAAAGCGAGCGCAGGCGGUUUUUUAAGUCUGAUGUGAAAGCCCUCGGCUUAACCGAGGAAGUGCAUCGGAAACUGGGAAACUUGAGUGCAGAAGAGGACAGUGGAACUCCAUGUGUAGCGGUGAAAUGCGUAGAUAUAUGGAAGAACACCAGUGGCGAAGGCGGCUGUCUGGUCUGUAACUGACGCUGAGGCUCGAAAGCAUGGGUAGCGAACAGGAUUAGAUACCCUGGUAGUCCAUGCCGUAAACGAUGAAUGCUAGGUGUUGGAGGGUUUCCGCCCUUCAGUGCCGCAGCUAACGCAUUAAGCAUUCCGCCUGGGGAGUACGACCGCAAGGUUGAAACUCAAAGGAAUUGACGGGGGCCCGCACAAGCGGUGGAGCAUGUGGUUUAAUUCGAAGCGACGCGAAGAACCUUACCAGGUCUUGACAUCUUUUGAUCACCUGAGAGAUCAGGUUUCCCCUUCGGGGGCAAAAUGACAGGUGGUGCAUGGUUGUCGUCAGCUCGUGUCGUGAGAUGUUGGGUUAAGUCCCGCAACGAGCGCAACCCUUAUGACUAGUUGCCAGCAUUUAGUUGGGCACUCUAGUAAGACUGCCGGUGACAAACCGGAGGAAGGUGGGGAUGACGUCAAAUCAUCAUGCCCCUUAUGACCUGGGCUACACACGUGCUACAAUGGAUGGUACAACGAGUUGCGAGACCGCGAGGUCAAGCUAAUCUCUUAAAGCCAUUCUCAGUUCGGACUGUAGGCUGCAACUCGCCUACACGAAGUCGGAAUCGCUAGUAAUCGCGGAUCAGCACGCCGCGGUGAAUACGUUCCCGGGCCUUGUACACACCGCCCGUCACACCAUGAGAGUUUGUAACACCCGAAGCCGGUGGCGUAACCCUUUUAGGGAGCGAGCCGUCUAAGGUGGGACAAAUGAUUAGGGUGAAG